UGAAAAGCACCAAAACCAGAAUGAUGUCCAACUAUCUUGAUUUCAUUGGCGACAAGAAAAAAAACCUAACAUUUGGUGCCGAAACCCAGGAGGAGAUUGAGCCCCUGCUCUGGCACGGAAGCUCUCUUCUCCUCUCAAGCAGACUGGGACUUCUCUCUCUCUCUCUCCAAACAUCUCUCGAAGCCCGCUGUGGGCUCUCUGAUCAGCCGUUGCCUAACCCUGACCACGUGCUCUUCAUGGACAACAGCUCCCUCCUGGCCUCGGAUGGCCAAAAACACGCCGC